rnacentral:rRNA from 1 species
AUUGAACGCUGGCGGCAUGCUUUACACAUGCAAGUCGAACGGUAACAGGCCGCAAGGUGCUGACGAGUGGCGAACGGGUGAGUAAUGCAUCGGAACGUGCCCAGUCGUGGGGGAUAACGCAGCGAAAGCUGUGCUAACACCGCAUACGAUCUAUGGAUGAAAGCGGGGGACCGUAAGGCCUCGCGCGAUUGGAGCGGCCGAUGUCAGAUUAGGUAGUUGGUGGGGUAAAGGCUCACCAAGCCAACGAUCUGUAGCUGGUCUGAGAGGACGACCAGCCACACUGGGACUGAGACACGGCACAGACUCCUACGGGAGGCAGAAGUGGGGAAUUUUGGACAAUGGGCGCAAGCCUGAUCCAGCAAUGCCGCGUGCAGGAAGAAGGCCUUCGGGUUGUAAACUGCUUUUGUACGGAGCGAAACGGUCUGGGUUAAUACCCUGGGCUAAUGACGGUACCGUAAGAAUAAGCACCGGCUAACUACGUGCCAGCCGCCGCCGUAACAC